UCCGUAGGCGGGCCAUUAAGUCAGGGGUGAAAGUCUGCGGCUCAACCGUAGAAUUGCCUUUGAUACUGGUGGUCUUGAGUUAUGGUGAAGUGGCUGGAAUAUGUAGUGUAGCGGUGAAAUGCAUAGAUAUUACAUAGAACACCGAUUGCGAAGGCAGGUCACUAACCAUAUACUGACGCUGAUGGACGAAAGCGUGGGGAGCGAACAGGAUUAGAUACCCUGGUAGUC
rnacentral:rRNA from 1 species